CAGGGUUGUGGUCAUCACAAUCUCCACAGCCAAGAGAAGGUCCAUCAUGUUGGCCAUGGGAGCCAGUCCGGUGGAGCGAACGUAUGAGCAGAUCAGGGCUGCAGUGAAAGCAGUGUUGGUGUUGCUGCCCAUCCUUGGACUGACAUGGCUGUGCGGUGUUUUGGUUCCUCUAUCCAUUGUAAUGGCCUACGUCUUCAUCCUCCUAAACUCCCUACAGGGCCUGUUCAUCUUUCUGAUAUAUGGGGUGUACAACACAGAGGU